rnacentral:rRNA from 1 species
GAUGAACGCUGGCGGCGUGCCUAAUACAUGCAAGUCGAGCGAACAGACGAGGAGCUUGCUCCUCUGACGUUAGCGGCGGACGGGUGAGUAACACGUGGAUAACCUACCUAUAAGACUGGGAUAACUUCGGGAAACCGGAGCUAAUACCGGAUAACAUGUUGAACCGCAUGGUUCAACAGUGAAAGACGGUCUUGCUGUCACUUAUAGAUGGAUCCGCGCCGCAUUAGCUAGUUGGUAAGGUAACGGCUUACCAAGGCAACGAUGCGUAGCCGACCUGAGAGGGUGAUCGGCCACACUGGAGCUGAGACACGGUCCAGACUCCUACGAGAGGCAGCAGUAGGGAAUCUUCCGCAAUGGGCGAAAGCCUGACGGAGCAACGCCGCGUGAGUGAAGAAGGUCUUCGGAUCGUAAAACUCUGUUAUUAGGGAAGAACAAAUGUGUAAGUAACUAUGCACGUCUUGACGGUACCUAAUCAGAAAGCCACGGCUAACUACGUG